rnacentral:rRNA from 1 species
UGGGGAAUCUUGCGCAAUGGGGGCAACCCUGACGCAGCGACGCCGCGUGAGUGACGAAGGCCUUCGGGUUGUAAAGCUCUGUGGAGGGAGACGAAUAAGUGUCGGCGAACAUCCGGCACGAUGACGGUAUCCCUUUAGCAAGCACCGGCUAACUCUGUGCCAGCAGCCGCGGUAAGACAGAGGGUGCAAACGUUGUUCGGAAUUACUGGGCGUAAAGCGCGUGUAGGCUGCCCUGCAAGUCAGGUGUGAAAGCCCUGGGCUCAACCUAGGAAGUGCACUUGAAACUGCGGGGAUCGAGGGCUGGAGAGGGAAGCGGAAUUCUCGGUGUAGAGGUGAAAUUCGUAGAUAUCGAGAGGAACACCGGUGGCGAAGGCGGCUUCCUGGACAGUUACUGACGCUGAGACGCGAAAGCGUGGGGAGCAAACA